AGUGGCCGUUUUGAUGUUGCUGUAAUUGCUGAUUAUUCAAUUUAGUCGAUUUCCCUUCUUUCAUUGCUGGUCAAAACACUAAAAAAAUUUUUCCGAAAAAAGAAAAUCCAAUCUACAGCAAACAAAUGAGUCCAAGAACCGAAUUUUCAGUUUGGAUUUUGGUAUUGUGGGUUGAAGAAUUGUCAAUGGCAGCAGUGGUGGGUCAAAACGAGCUAGGGUUGGAUUGGGUUGCACAGAGAGAGAGAGUUAGAUAAUAGAAAUUGAAGUGUUCUCUCCUCUCUGUAGAUCUGCAGCAACCAGCAAGCCAAGGAUUGGAUCACGGAGAUUGUUA
rnacentral:misc_RNA from 1 species